rnacentral:tRNA from 1 species
GCUUGGGUGGCUCAGUCGGUUGAGCAUCUGACUUUGGCUCAGGUCAUGAUCUCAUGAUCUGUGAGUUCGAGCCCCAUGUCGAGCU